rnacentral:lncRNA from 1 species
CUCCCUACUUCUAGCAUCAACCAUGCAGUGAUACUUUGUUUUCUUUUUCAGAGUAAGUAACCGCAGUAGUUCUUUGGUCACUAUUUUUGCUAUAGUAAGCCAAUUUUUGAAUUUCUUUCACGCCACAUUGGUUGGGUAAUGAAAUAGUGAUCUGCUUAUAUGAAUUUGGAUAAACUUUCCCUCAUUUGCUAGUUUUUGAGUUUGAGUUAGACCAAGUGUCAUGUUACAUGGUAUAAGAGCUUGGUUGUUCCAUGUUUGAGGCCCAAUGCUAUAUUGUCCACUCUCCAGUUGGGAGAGUUGGCCCUGAGCAUUGGACUUGGGUGUGAAGAUGUGGUCAGAGAAUGUAUUGGUGGUCUGCUUAUAUGACAAUCCUCCUCAUGAGCUAGCGUUUGGGUUGUAAGGCCCUAAUACCAUAUGUUUACCGGGAUUGUUUCGUAGGCUAUCAUACAGAUAUUGGAAAUCUUAUUCCAACAAAUUUUAUAUUUGAUGUUUUACCAUCUCAUCCAGCAAUUUUAAGUUUGUGAAUUUAAAACCUCUGUAAGUAGCAUGCUUACCUCCAAAUUUUAAUGAUGUGGUGCUCUCAGAUGUUUUACUAAUAUACGAUCUUGGAGUAACAACAACAAUAACAUACCAAAUGUAAUCUCACAAGUGGAGGCGGGGGUGCGUUGAGUGUAUGCAAACGUUAUCCCUACCUCAUGGAGGUGGAGAGGCUAUUUCCUAAAGACCCUCGGCGCUAGAGCAACAAAUCAAAGUAGCUAUGGAAAAGGAAACACAACAUUAAAUAUACAUAAUCUUGGAGUUGCUAAAUGAUUAUUGUGUCUCUUUCUAUUUCUGAUUAUUGAGUUUUGUGAUGUUGCUUAUCGCUUUCUUUGUAGCUUUCUUCUAGUGAGAAAUAAAAGUGGUCUAUUGAUGUUAUCAAAGUCACAAACUGCGAGUCUUAGGUGUUAGGUCUAGUGGAUAUCUCAUUACAAGAUAAUAAAAAGAAUGGUGAAAUUUUUAAUUUCUUUGCUUUAUCUAUUAAGGAAGGUGCUAGACUUCAAGGAAUUCAGAAAGACUCCUCAUUGUGUUGGGCAUCACAUUGAUAGUUGAAUUGAGGAGUUCAACAGAAACUCUGCAUUUGCAUUAGCCUAAGGUCUAUAAAUGUUCAAUUUGUUAAAUUGCUUGUGUUUAGUAUUUGAUUAGCAGAAUCUUGAAAUUUCUUACCAACGUUUUCAUCGGUAGUUCUAGAUAGUCUUAAAGAAGAAAGUAGGAAAGUAAGUUUUGGGGGACUAGCUGCUACUGUGCAGAUGAAUACAAUUUCAUUGAGAAGUUUGUGAAGAUAAAUACAACAGUAGUAAGAAAAUAAAAAUGAUGUUUGGAAAUUGAGAUAGUCAAAGCUGUUGCCUUGGUUUUAUUCUAUCAUAAGCAAAAAGACAUCAAAACCAUGCCUUUUGAGCCUAAAAGAAUUUUAUUUAGGUGGAAACAAAUAUGACAGUCAUUUUAUCUUCAAGUUAUUAAGAAUAUACACUAAGUUGUCUUAACAAACCAUAAGAAGCAUCCAGCAAUUAUGAGGUCGCUUAUCUGAAAUCCUAUCUGUAUUGUUUAUUAUAUCUUAUGGGUCACGGUUUAUGAUAUUCUUUUUCCAUUUUUGGCUUCAUUUAUCAAAUGAAACAGGCAUAUCUCUGGUUUGUUAGAUGCCACGUCCAAGCUUUCAUUUCCCUAUUUAACAUUAUCUUGUAAAUGUGGGCUAUCCAGAUGUACACAUGUGCAAUGCACAUGUCAUCUCAUAUAAAACAUAGACAACACCAAAGACUUAGUUUUGCUUCCUUGCAACAUAUUAUAUCUGUUAUUUAAGCUGUAAGGUAGGUGGUUCAAAGAGAUCAUAUUUCCCCUUCCUAUAAUUGAAUUUUUGUUCAGGAUUUUGAGUGUUGGCAGUCAUAUGGGUGAGGCACGCAAUGAUGUCAAGCAUUAUUGCAAAGAGGGUAUCCCCAAAAGUUGAUGUUAUGUGGGUUGGACCAGUAACAAGAUGACACAAAUCAAUAGCCUCUUUACUGAAAAGGACACUCAAAAGUUU